AAUAGAUACCCCGGUAGUCCACGCUGUAAACGAUGAGGACUAAAUGUUGGUAGGGAACCUAUCGGUAUUGAAGCUAACGCGAUAAGUCUUCCGCCUGGGAAGUACGGCCGCAAGGUUGAAACUCAAAUGAAUUGACGGGGGCCCGCACAAGCGGUGGAGCAUGUGGUUUAAUUCGAUGCAACGCGAAGAACCUUACCUACCCUUGACAUCCUGCGAAUCCCGAUGAAAGUUGGGAGUGCCGCAAGGAGCGCAGAGACAGGUGCUGCAUGGCUGUCGUCAGCUCGUGUUGUGAGAUGUUGGGUUAAGUCCCGUAACGAGCGCAACCCUUGUCCUUAGUUGCCAGCAUUAAGUUGGGGACUCUAAGGAGACUGCCGGUGAGGAACCGGAGGAAGGCGGGGACGACGUCAAGUCAUCAUGGCCUUUAUGGGUAGGGCUACACACGUGCUACAAUGGGGCGUACAGAGGGUCGCGAACCCGCGAGGGGGAGCCAAUCUCAUAAAGCGUCUCGUAGUCCGGAUUGGAGUCUGCAACUCGACUCC
rnacentral:rRNA from 1 species